GGGAAUCCAGCUCACAUUUCAUGCUCACCAGAAUAGCGCUUGUGAGACAUUCCAGCUGCCUUCAGCCCUAACCUCAGUUUAGAAUGUUACAUCCUAAAUUACAAGGGUGAUACCUAGAGACAGAGACAGAGCUGACAACGCCAGAAGAUGUCAAUGCCACGCAGAGAGAAGAUAAAUUUAGAGUGAAUGAUUUCCCAGUUAUGCAGGGACCAACAGAGAGUUUAUAAUAAAACAAUUUAAACACA